rnacentral:rRNA from 1 species
UAGGGAAUCUUCCGCAAUGGGCGAAAGCCUGACGGAGCAACGCCGCGUGAGUGAUGAAGGUCUUCGGAUCGUAAAACUCUGUUAUUAGGGAAGAACAAAUGUGUAAGUAACUAUGCACGUCUUGACGGUACCUAAUCAGAAAGCCACGGCUAACUACGUGCCAGCAGCCGCGGUAAUACGUAGGUGGCAAGCGUUAUCCGGAAUUAUUGGGCGUAAAGCGCGCGUAGGCGGUUUUUUAAGUCUGAUGUGAAAGCCCACGGCUCAACCGUGGAGGGUCAUUGGAAACUGGAAAACUUGAGUGCAGAAGAGGAAAGUGGAAUUCCAUGUGUAGCGGUGAAAUGCGCAGAGAUAUGGGGGAACACCAGUGGCGAAGGCGACUUUCUGGUCGGUAACUGACGCUGAUGUGCGAAAGCGGGGGGAUCAAACAGG